CAGCCGGAGCAACCGCGGCGCUUUAGAGUCACAGCUGCCAGGACCGCAGAGCACCGGCUCCGCCAGCCAAUCAAAAGGCAGGAGGAGAUGACAAAGAGAACAAAAAUACAAAGAGAACAAAGGUAUCGAACCUGGAGUAAAGAGUCAAUAUCAGACGAGAUAGUUAGGAGCAGUGGACACAGCGUCCAGGAGCGAAGCCCAGGACCUUCUACUCUCCGGCUGAUUUAGAGCCUUCGAGGAGGACUACUGGGGAGUCCGGACGAUUGUUGGACUUCGUCACAGGUGGGGAGACCCUCUGAGAUGACAGGCACCAGGAAAGCAGGACCCUCCACAGAAAAAGAGAAAUGGAAGAGAAAGAAGAAUGUUGAGAGUGAGAAAAGGACCAAAGAAAAGGCCGAAAGGAAAGUAGGAGAUGAAUUAUCCGACAGCGACAGAGAGGAGGAAAAGGGGGGAGUGGGAGGGGACUAGGGUAUCAGGGAGCACCACAAACCCCACCCCCCCAAAAUAAAAGGCUUAUCCAAUGAACAAUUUAAUUGAUUAUUCAG